rnacentral:piRNA from 1 species
CAAUGAAGAGAGUGGAGCCCUACUACA